UUAUAAUUUUUUUUCUCUGCUCAGAUUGAACGCUGGCGGCAGGCUUAACACAUGCUAGUCGAGCGGAGCGAGGGUGCUUGCACCUUAGCUUACGGCGGACGGGUGAGUAAUGCUUAGGAAUCUGCCUAUUAGUGGGGGACAACAUUCCGAAAGGGAUGCUAAUACCGCAUACGCCCUACGGGGGAAAGCAGGGGAUCUUCGGACCUUGCGCUAAUACAUGAGCCUAAGUCGGAUUAGCUAGUUGGUGGGGUAAAGGCCUACCAAGGCGACGAUCUGUACGGGUCUGAUAGGAUGAUCCGCAACGCUGGGACUGAGACACGGCCAAGACUCCUACGGGAGGCAGCAGUGGGGAAUAUUGGACAAUGGGCGGAACCCUGAUCCAGCCAUGCCGCGUGUGUGAAGAAGGCCUUUUGGUUGUAAAGCACUUUAAGCGAGGAGGAGGCGCUCUAGGAUAUUACCCUAGAUGCGUGGACGUUACUCGCAGAAUAAGCACCGGCUAACUCUGUGCCAGCAGCCGCGGUAAUACAGAGGGUGCGAGCGUUAAUCGGAUUUACUGGGCGUAAAGCGCGCGUAGGUGGCUAAUUAAGUCAAAUGUGAAAUCCCCGAGCUUAACUUGGGAAUUGCAUUCGAUACUGGUUAACUAGAGUAUGGGAGAGGAUGGUAGAAUUCCAGGUGUAGCGGUGAAAUGCGUAGAGAUCUGGAGGAAUACCGAUGGCGAAGGCAGCCAUCUGGCCUAAUACUGACACUGAGGUGCGAAAGCAUGGGGAGCAAACAGGAUUAGAUACCCUGGUAGUCCAUGCCGUAAACGAUGUCUACUAGCCGUUGGGGCCUUUGAGGCUUUAGUGGCGCAGCUAACGCGAUAAGUAGACCGCCUGGGGAGUACGGUCGCAAGACUAAA
rnacentral:rRNA from 1 species